UACGGGGGGAGCAAGCGUUGUUCGGAUUUACUGGGCGUAAAGGGCGCGUAGGCGGUCAGCACAAGUCAGUUGUGAAAUCUCCGGGCUUAACUCGGAAAGGUCAACUGAUACUGUGCGACUAGAGUGCAGAAGGGGCAACUGGAAUUCUCGGUGUAGCGGUGAAAUGCGUAGAUAUCGAGAGGAACACCUGCGGCGAAGGCGGUCGC
rnacentral:rRNA from 1 species